AGUCUGCGAGGCUCCUCUCUGAAUGAGGCCCCUAAAAGGCAAAGUUAAGACACUUGGAGUUCACCCAGCGCUCAGCCAGUCUUCACCAUCUCUGCUGAACCCUAACAGCCCAGGAGGGAGAGCACUGGGGAGGACCGAACCCUAGGUAACCGGAGGAUGUGGCAGUCAGAAGACCUGAGCUGGAGUCCUGGUAGCCGGACACCUUUGCAGCAGCAGGACAUUGCUGACCUGAUGCUUAAGCUAGGAGUGCUAAGAGGCAGGAUCCAUCCUCCAGCUUCCUCAGGAGGAGAAAGAUCACAGGUCCCCGACUAGACGGGAUCUCCCUGAGGACAGCCCCUGGGUCUCAUUCAGCCCCAAGGACCUGCAGGAGCACUGAGCCCACCUACACUUGCAGCUCCAGGACUUCCCCAGCCUCCUGGCUCUCAGGUCAGCUCUUUUCUGCCCGCCUGGCCAUGCCUGAGAUGAACAAAUGCAAUCAGAACCUCCUUUGGGGCAUGCUCUUGGUUCUGAGUCCUGUCCUGCCUCUGCCCCAAGUCUCCUUCUCCUAUUGCCCCUUUUCCUGGUGGCACCCCUGUACUCCUGUCCCUUAGCCUGGGGUCCUGGCGACUCACUGCUGCUCUGGUAGGGUCCUUGUACUCUGGAUGAUCCCAUCCACUCCCUCCAGGUGGUGCUUAGGCCAAGGUCCUCUUCUCCCACCUUUGCCCCCCCCCUCAGGCCCC
rnacentral:lncRNA from 1 species